AUUCCUUACUGCUCUGGAGGGUUGAAUAAAGGAGUGAAACUAUAUGGGAAUGAUAGUAUGGCUAGGGCUGGGGUGGAGCUGAUUUUAAGUCAAAAUAACUUGAGCUGUUACGAAGUCUUGGUAGGAGUAAGCCACCUCUCACCAGAUUUGUUCAACCUGUCUGAGAUGCUGUCACAAGGUUCCUUUAUGGGAUUAGCCCUGAGCUAACAUCUGCUGCCAAUCCUCCUCUUUUUGCUGAGGUUUGCCAAGUGGUGCCAUGUCCACACCUGGGAUCCGAACUGGCAGCCCCUGGGCCGCCGAAGAGGAACGUGCGCACUUAACCACUGCGCCACCGGGCCAGCCCCCUAAGCGUUUACUUCUUACGCUAACUUUUAAUUAUUUUUCUUUUCCCUCAUUGCCAAGAAUCCACUAUCCUCCAUGGAGACAGACACCAUCAAGGACAAGCACCUGGACCAUCUCCUCCCCACAAAGGGAUAUGGGCUGGUGGGAAAGCUGCUGACCAGCAAGGUCACGGGCUCCCUCCUCUCUGCAAGUAGUCUCAAGGCCAAAGACAAGCUGGUGGGAAAGCUCUGACCAGAAAGGCCAUAUGCUCCCGCCUCCCCUACCUAAAACCCCA
rnacentral:lncRNA from 1 species